CCUGGGGACCGGAACGGGACUGCGGGCGCCGCCUAGUCCUCUCCCCAGAGUUAACUGCCACCAAUUGUGUCUUGAGGUUCUCCCAGAGUUUUUUUCCCUAAGCACACACAGGAGCCUGAUGUGAGAAUGUAUACAGAGGGGCCAUCGGAUGCGCUGUGUUCUGCACCAGGGGCCUUCUUUCUAAUGGUAAGUACUUUGGGAAGGAGGCGGAGGCUCCUGCAGGCCCACUGGGGUCAGAGCUUUGUGAUUUCAGCAGGGAGGAAUGGGCGAAGGGUGCACAGCCAACAGAAGGGGGGAAAUGGAGCAAGCUUUGGACAAUUGCUGCUAGGAAAUAAGCCAGACUGUGGUGAGAGGCAAGAAGAUGGUGAAAAAGCAGUGAGCUUGCGUUGCCUUCUAGCAUGGGCCCCAGAGAAGAGGAAAUGCAAGAUGGAAAAUGAGUGUUAGCGGCCACGAGGAGAUAGAGCUGUUUCUGGCACUGACGGGAGAGACAAGGCCAGGAGAGUGGGAAUUCACUUGCAUUCCAUCCAAGUCCAUAUUUAGGUACAAGAUUUACCUCAAUACUUACCCCCCCCCAUUAAAUUUUUUUUAAUUUUAAUUUAUUUAAUUUUAUUUUAAUAUUUUAAGAUUUUUAAGAGAGACAGAGUGAGAGCACAAGCAAGGGGAGCAGCAGAGGGAGAAGGAGAAGCAGACUCUUCUGCUGAGCAGGAAGACGGAUGUGAGGCUCGAUCCCGGGACCCUGGGAUCAUGAUCUGAGCCAUAGGCAGAUGCUUAACCGACUGAGCCACCCAGGUGCCCCCCAUCACCCCUCAUCACCCCUCAUUCUUAACUGAUCUCACUCCAGAGUAAAAAUAAAACCAAUUUGCAAUCGUCCUGUCCUUUCA
rnacentral:lncRNA from 12 species